GCACUCCGAGCAGCUCGGUAGGGCGACGGCUUGCUAAGCCGUUGACGGUUCUCCGUCUCGUGGGUUCAAAUCCCACCCCCGGCGCUCCA
rnacentral:tRNA from 1 species